AGGGUUCUUGGGGAACACAAGAUCUAAGUCAUAACUUUAGUGUGCUAAUAAAACUGAGAGAAAGUAAAAGUGUGUGUAGUACAAUGUCUGUUUUCUCAUAGUUAUCCUAUGUUGGUUGACUUUUGACAUGGGAGAAAUAACAAAUGAACUAUGCCAAAAGCGUCUAAUUUUGCCUGUAUUCCUCCCAAGAUCUUUUGACAUUGGAAUACUGCUUAGAAAAAGUCUCGGAGGAGUUCCCAUUGUGGCUCAGCAGGUUAAGGACCCGACAUUUUCCCUGUGAGGAUGCAGGUUCAAUCCCUGGCCUCAGUCAGCAGGUUAAGGAUCUAGUGUUGUCAUGACAUAGGUCACAGAUAUGGCUUGGAUCCAGUGUUGCUGGCCCUAACGGCAGCUCUGAUUUGACCCCUGGCCUGAGAACUUCAGUAUGCAUAAAUAUUUAUUAAUGGUACAGAACAUAAUUUUAAAACUCAAUAUGCAGCUUCAAGCAGAGAAACAAUGUAUUUAUGUCUCCAUUUAAUCCCCAUUAAUAGGCUCAUAAUAGAUAUUUUAGGAAGAGGCAAUGUGAAUGUGGAAGAAAAUCUUACUCUAGGUAAUCCAUCCUAACAAUUAAUUCUAAGGAUUCAGUUCAUGUCUCUAAUUUUAAAUGAAUAUCACACAUUCAACGAAGGAGGCUUUGGAGUUCACAUUUCCUUAGUUAUGGGUUCACGGGGAUGCUAGAUGGGAUGAUGCAAGUUUCAUUUUCAUUGCUACGUGCUGACAGUCCCCUGUAACCUCAUCAUAGGUAAGUUUUCUUCCUAGGCAUGUACUUUGUGAGAAGUUAGCAACAAUUCCAACUUCAUGCUCCAUUUUCUCUGCCUACUGAGGCAAUUUGCUAUCCAUGCACUUUGUUAUUUCCUCUGCUUUGUGGCUCCGACCUGUAAGGUGUUUCAUGAUGGGAACUGCACUUUGAAUACCAACACUUCAUUUGCUUUCCUGGCUGAAUACCAUUGAUGCCACCUUAGGGGGAGGAUGUUAAUAUAUAGGUCAUCCUCUUAGAUUAAAUAGUUGGUUGAGACCUUGGGCUGAGUUGUUUUAAAAUUGCAUCUCAUUGUAUUUCCCAGGCUUUUGGCAGUUUACCAUAUGAUAUUCAAGGUCCUCCAUAUCUGGCCUCCUCCCACAUCUCAAGGCUCAUCUUCUACCCCUGCCUUGAUAUUUAUGAUGGGGGAAUAUUGAACUGUGUCAUAGGCCCUAAGUUCACUAUGCCUUUUUUUUUUUAAUAAUGGUAUUGCAUUUUUGAAUUUCAAUUCCCUUGUCAGAGGCCAUUCCCUCUGCCUGUAAGACUUGGGCUUCUUCUUCAUCUCUUUUCUUGCCUAAACACCUUCUCAACUUCCAAGAUUCCAUUUGGGUACCACCUCCACUGGAUGGCCUUGACGAUACUUUCUAUCUCCCCCUGUCAGUUGCAGUGGAGUUCUCUUUACAUCCCCAAAGUUCCCUGGGCACCGCUAAUUAAUCAUAGAGUCAUUACAUUGUCUUGAAGCUAUCCAUUUAUAAAUUUAUUUUUUCACCUAGACAAUAAAUUAAGUCCAUGUUUAAUCCAUACCUGCACUUUUAUGCCUGGAGCUCAGGCAAGUUAUUAAAUGCUUAUUGAAAUGAUCAGUGUUCAAAUUAAGCAAAGAAAGGAAACAAAGAAAACAAUGUCAAUUGAACUUUUAUUCACCCUGUUGCAGGCACUUUGUUAGGUGCUAAGAACUCAAAAUUCUUAGCAUAAGCAUUUGCUUUGCCUCUAGAUAUUUAAAAUCGAAAGGAAAAGAGGGAUGUAAAAACCAACCAUCAUAAUUCUAUGAUGAAGGUAAUGGUGGAAUCAGUGAAGGUACCCUCAGUGAAAAGAUAGAAGCUUUGAGUUGUUAUUGUUAUUAUUACUAACUAUACUUAAGUAACCUUCAGUAAUUAUUACACUUGAUUGGCUAACGGAGGGCAUACUAGGUUCUACACUCAUGACAUGCAUUUUCUUUCACGGCAAUCUUAGGGAGUGAACAUCGUUACUGCUGUUUUGGUGGGGAUGGACACGGAGGUCCAUAUUCUGUUCCCAGGUCACACAUCUGGAAAGUCCUACCUGGGAACAGAAUAUGGACCUUUCUAGUGCCAAAGGCAUGAUUGUUCUAAUUGCUCUGUGACAAAGACGCCCCUCCCUACUACUGAAGAAAUUGAUCUGAAAAGAAGAGAAAGAAACAUGCACACAUAGUUAAGGAAUCCAGGAAUCAUCCUGGAAGUGAAGGGGCAUGCUUUAUUUGGGGAAGCCCUAAGUAGCUCAGUGUCGCUCGAGAGAGUGCAGCCUCCGUAGGAAGUGAAAAACAAAACAAAACAAAACAAACCUCAGAUACAUUCCCAUUUCCAAGCUUGUCCAGUCCCUCUACCCAAGGGGCAACCCUUGCACUCCCAGGAGUGGUGAAAUGUAGUGGGCAGCACUGAAGAAAAUAACUAUCGGUUUUCUUAUUUAGCAAGUGCUACACUGUUUGGAUGUGUUGGAAAAUGACAAAGUACCUGAACUCUUCAUCUUCCUCCUUCACUGAAGCUAAAAGGAGAGAAUAAAUAACAGCUGGGAGAAAAGAUCAAUGAAGGCCUUGCUUGCAAUAACAGAUAGAAAGUACCUGGCAAUGGGAAACCAUAAAUGCUAUAGAACCUCAUUCUUCAUCUUUGAACUAAAGGUCUCCUCUGACCAGAACAUUAAAGAUCAACUGCAGGCCUUCCCUCGAGCACAGGUGUUGGCUAUACCUAUCUUAGUGCCCAGCUAUCCGGGGUGGCAUUGAAAACCUUUUUGCAGACAAAGUGAAGGCUCUCCCUGAUGGCUAAUCUAUAAACUUCAUAAAAGUUACAUUUAUCUAUCAAGACUCAUGCCAUUGAUAUUAUACACAGUAGGGCUUUUACUCUUCCCUCCUUCUAUUAAUAACAACAUCAAUAUAGCAAGUUGGUGGAGACCAAGAUGCUCAGGACGCCCAUCCAAUCAUUUUCUUGCCUUUCACUCAUGAUGGAUGGAAGUGAUUGUGUUUUUCAUUCUGAGCUGCUGAGUUCCUUUAGAUUGUGCUGUAGGAUGACAGGCCUCCUGCCAGAGCAGUUUCUUGAGUAUGAUGUAGGAAGAUAGUUUCCAGCUAGGCUCAGGACCCUGUAGGAAUUUGAUGGAGUUCUUUGGGGUCUGUCCUGGAGAAGGGGUUGAAUGGUUGGAGGCUGAGCCCCAGAGACAUCUCAAGUUUUAGGUUUGUAAUACCACAUAGGCUUUAAUAUGGAGAUUAUCUCUUCAAAUAAUAGAUCUAAACAUCUACCAGACUAUGAAGAAGUGCAUUAGCCUUGGAGACUAGGGACCUCUGUCAAAAUUUGCUUAACCAGUAGCAACUUGUGCAAGAUCUAAGCUGAUUCUCUCUCUUCCUCUGGGCUUCAUGAGUCUUAUCACUCAACUGGGCCUAUGUAUACAACAUUUCACAGGAGAUUUAGGAGGGUCAGUUGAGAUCUUAUAUUUAAAAGCACUAUGUGAAGGGCAGUGUGCUGAGGAGCUAUUACCAUUUUGGAGUACUCCUUUUUAUUUAAUCUCCCUUAAUUGACCCAGCCAUUCUCUGCAAGGUGUUAAUACCCACCGUUUACUGCGCUUUGUCUUGAUUUUCUUAUCCGUGAGUUAGUAUAGAGUAUGUUUUUGCUUGGGGAGUGAAAAGCUGCUCACUCUGGGAAAAGACAGUCACCAUAUCAUAAAGACACCCGAGCAUCUGUGGAGCAACUCGCGUGGGGAGAAACUGAUACCACCUGCCCACAACCAGCACUCAUUUGUCACCCGCAUGAGUGUUUUGUCUUGGAAGUCAAUCCUCCAGGCUUGGUCAAGCACUCAGAGGACUGAAACUCCAGCCAGCAUUUUGAUUGCAAUCUCAUAUGUGAGCCUGAGCCAGAAGCACUCUUUAAGCCACUUUCAAAUCCCCAACUCCUAGAAGCUAUGAGAUGAUAGAUGAUUAUUUAGUUUUGGGCUUUGGUAUUUUGGGGUAAUUUGCAUAGCAAUUGGUAAUGAUACGCUUACUAAUUAAUGCCAUAAAAAUGUGACCAGAGGUGUAAGCAAACAUCUGGGGAAAUCAUGAAAGAAAAUUUCAAAUGUGUCUCUGUCACCAAAUUGCUUGUCCCUGGUCACAUUUGAGAGAGACUUUCCAUCCUGGGCAAAGGUAUAACGUAUACAGUGAAAAGGCUAGGAUUCAAUCCCCAGUCUUUCCCUUGCUAGCUCCGCCCCUGACUUAGUGCAUUAACCUCUCUAAUACUCAGUCUUCAUAUUUGUAAAAUGAGAAAAGUAAUCAAAUCUUCCCAGUAACCCUAUGAAUGAGAUUCCAUGAGAGGAUGAAAACAAGACCUUGCAAAAUACAAGUGGCUGGUAAAGAUUUACCAUUGCUUUUGUUGUAUAUUCUGUCUUUGGUAUGAACAUGGGUCUCAGUUUCUUUAUCUGUAAAAUAGGGCUUGUGGAGUUCCCAUUGUGGUGCAGCGGAUACAAAUCGGACUAGGAACCAUGAGGUUGUGGGUUCGAUCCCUGACCUUGCUCAGUGGGUUAAGGAUCUGGCAUUGCCAUGAGCUGUGGUGUGGGUCACAGAUGUGGCUUGGAUCUGGCAUUGCUGUGGCUGCAGGGUAGGCCACCGACUAUAGCUCCGAUUAGACCUAGCCUGGGGACCUCCAUAUGCGGCGGGUGCAGCCGUAAAAAGACAAUAAAAUAAAUAAAAUGAAAUGAAAUGAAAUAAAAUAGGGCUUGUGAUUCCUACCUCUCUGUGUUAUCACAAUUCCUGAAGAAACGUACGCCCUAAUUGAGAAGGCAAAUUAACUUGUAAUUUCUCAUGCAUGUAAUGAUACAAUAUAUUAACAAUAAUAUAGGCUCUGGGAUCAGAUUGAUUCCGGUCUGAAUCCUGCUACCUCCACUCACUAAUGUGUACUUGUUGUGUGGCUUUAAUCAAGUUAUUUAAACUUGAAGGUUAACAAUAAUAACCUACCCAUAGAGCUGUUUGAGCAGAUUAAAUUAUAUAAUCCAUUCCAAAAGCAUAGUCAUGAGAUAUGAAAUGGCUGGCAAUAGGUACGAUUUUUGCAGUCUUCCCAAGUCAUCUGAUGGUGGAAUACAGAAUCAUUAUCAUUUUUUUCUCUUGGAGAAGUUUUAGAAACAAAUCGAGGAACUCAUCCUGAGUAAUAAAACUAAGGACUAAAACUGGAGCAGCAAAGCAGUGGCUUCAUUACAAUAACAGCAUGGCUUUCCUAAAACUCUAGGCAGGAAACCCUAAAUUGUGCUUGGUGCUAGCCACGUAUAUUGCUGGAAUUACAUUACAAUUAGGUUGCAACUGUAGCUAAUGUCUCCAGUCACUUUGCUGGGGACUGAGUCAAUCCCAGCUCUUGACUGAUUUCCAAGGUGGCCUACGCUGGCUCAGUGGACUAGGAAAACCACACCUUAGGGAAUUAGAAAGUGUAUGUGACUGCUGAAAAUGAAACCGCCAGUUGAUUGCCACACUUGUGUUUUAAAAGAGUCUUUAACUGGGUUUUACUCAAGAUUGCGUUUCAAGAAAAUGUUGGUUUGAUUAGGAGGCCAAAAGCCAUAUUUACACUGUUUAUUUAUACUUUCCAUUUCUUUGUGAGUAAAUAGAAAUCACCUGCCCCUUAGGAGGAAGGUAUGGGGUAUAAGUCCCUCAAAAGGAAGUCCACAGUAAGUUCAUACUCUACUCUAUUAAAAUAAAGAUAUUAAUGAAAUAAAAUCUGAAUUAAUUCCCUCUGCCUUGCCAUUCCUUCUCCCCAAUUCAUGGACUGAUUUCAGGGCAGUUUGACACUCUGUUCUAAAGAGAUUUUCUUAAGAAGAUACCAGUUAGAUGAAAGGCCAAAUGUUUGAGCCAAGGCCUUCCUUGAUUUGAUCCCAUCCUAACAAUCCAGGCUUCCCUCCCAUUACAUCAGUUUAUACAUCCUACUCUUCCCCCAACCAACUUGGCAAUAGGUUCUGAACUGCACUUUCUCGUAGCUUUGUCCUUUGUUUUUGCCGUUCCCUCCGCAUCCAGUAUCCGCCAUCAACCUCCACCCCCAAUCUACCAGCAAGAUCGCCAGCUUCCUUCAUUCACCUUUCCCAGAAACUCCUCUUUGCCUGACUUUGUAAUAAUGAAUUCCUCAGUGCUCAAUUUUAGCUCUUCUAAAUCUAUCUCCUUGCCUAGAUUAUUUCAUUCAUUCUCUCAGUUAAACAGUCUAUAUACUGAUGACUCAAAAAUGUAUGUGUUCAGCUCAGACAUACAUGGUGUUUUAUAUCCAAUCCUGGCUUGAUACAAUCAUUUGACUAUGUCUCCCAGCCACUUAAAACUCACAAAUAGGGGAGUUCCCUUGUGGCUCAGUGAGUUAAGGAUCUGAUAUUGUCACUGCUGUGCCUCUAGUUACCAGCUGUGACAGGGGUUCAAUCCCUGGCCCAGGAACUUC
rnacentral:lncRNA from 1 species